GAAUAAUUAUCAUGAUGCAGAGAGAAUUCAUUAACAGUAGGGGUUGGUGCAGUGGAACCAUUAAUUGGUCCAGCAAUUGUUUUCUUUUGAAUCGAGCAGCGAGGACGAGGAGGAAGGUGAGUUUGCCUUGCUGACAUGAGGGAAAAAGAAGAAGAAGACGCCAUUGGCUUCGAAAUUCGGUGCUCGAUGAGAAGAAGAAGAAGAAGAAGCAGCAGCAGAAAUUUCAGAUUCCCUCUCUUCCCUUCGAAGCUCAAUGGUUCUGUUGAAAAAGCACUCGCUCCAAAAGCACUGCUAAACUCGCGCUUUUGCGCCCACUCCUAUAUUCACUGAACACCGUACGGACAUUGUAGAAUCAUAUUUGCUUCAAAAUUAAAAUAUACCUUAUUCAUUCUUCAAAAAAAAAAA